rnacentral:misc_RNA from 1 species
GGAACAAGACGGAAGAGAGUCACUCUUACCGUCGCGCAUACCUUAAAGCGGGUCUGCCGCCUUCGUUUCUCUUUCUUCGCGAAUGACUUUGACUUGCGCUCGCGCGCCGCAUCGCAGCCCCUGUUGAUUACGAUGGGCGGCUGCUGGCGCUCCGCGAGGGCGCGGCACAAGCCGCGACGGCCCUCUCUUUUAGCCAAGGGUGGCGGCCUUGCGAGGCUUGCGUCUCGUUGGCGAAAGCCGAUUUAAGGCGCAGUCUUAGGGCUUGUAGCUCAGUUGGUUAGAGCGCGCGCUUGAUAAGCGUGAGGUCGGAGGUUCAAGUCCUCCCAGGCCCACCACUUCGCAAUCCGCAAGGAUUGUCGGAUCUCCUCGAUAUCCGUCGGGAAACACUAUCAGGGGCCGUAGCUCAGCUGGGAGAGCGCCUGCUUUGCAAGCAGGAUGUCGUCGGUUCGAUCCCGUCCGGCUCCACCAACAUCUUCUGUGAAGGUGGGGCGUGUCGAGUAGAGGAUGAUCGCCCGCGGUCAGUCAUUCGAAAAAGAGUUUGCGGCGCGCUUCGUGCUCUCCGCCUGUUCUGUUUGACAUCGUAAAGAGAAGAUUUGUUCGAACUUCACGGCUGCAAGGCUGUGAUUUGUCGCAAGGACGCUCAAUCCCUUGCCUAUGAUGGGUUUGCCUAACCGCGCCCUCGAACGGAUCUCGAGAAGCUGGUCUUUUUGUGCCAAUUCCAUUGAAGCAAGCCCCGCACAGGGUUUUGCUCAGGCGGCGAUCCUUCGGAUCGCGCAGAUGGGUAUUGGCAAUGAGAACGAUCAAGUGUCUUAAGGGCAAUUGGUGGAUGCCUNGGCAUGCACAGGCGAUGAAGGACGUGAUACGCUGCGAUAAGCUACGGGGAGGUGCGAAUAC